CUACGGACUUAAUUGGAUUGAGUCUUAAUAUGGAAACUUACUAAGUGCUAACCUUCAAAUUCAGAAAAACCCAGGAAAAAAAAAUGGAUAAUCCUGAGCCAAAUCCUCUUCUCUUUUCCAAGAUCAAACAUGGGUUUAGAAAGUGAAAAAGGGGAAUAGGUGCAGUGACUCAAUGGAAGUUGUUUUAACAAAUGAAGUUGACUACCCAUUUUGGUAAAUAAAAAAGAAAGU
rnacentral:ncRNA from 1 species